rnacentral:lncRNA from 1 species
CUCAGCUCAGACUCCACCUGCCCCACCCCUUCCAUCUGAGGAUGAAGCUGACCAGUAACUAUGCACUGCCCUUUCUCUCCCGGAGCACAAACAUAAGGCACUGCAUGGGAGAACCAGCAAGUGAAAUAUCUGCAGAGACCAUCUUGUGCUGAAACACUGCCAUGUUUGGUGCUCUUAUAUACCUAGUGCCCAACUGACACAGGCACAUGGCUGUGUAUAUGUUCAGGAGGAGGUGAUUGGAGCUCAGCCUCAGAGUAUUCUGGGUCAUACUUGGUUAAAAUGUCAAAUUGUGGGAGGAAGAAAAAACGUCUGGAUUCACAGAUCACAGUUCCUAACAUUUGAUACAUGAAUAUAUUAAGAAAUUUGAUUUUCACAAAAUAUUGAGUAGUGAUAGACACAAAUUGAAUAAGAGCAUACCCAUUCCACAGGAAUUAUUUUAUUGAAAAGAACUGAUUUCUUUCACACAAUCCUCAUUCAAACUCACCCAAAAUAGUAAAACUACCUGGAAGUGCAGAUGUUGUUGAUGAAAAGUAAGUAAAAUGCUGUUCCUGCUCCCAGAAAACCUACACAUGCUAAAUAAGAAAUGACAUAAUUUAUGAUGCAAGCAGUAUUUAAUGUUGAGGGAGCUCACGAACUGAUGCAGCCACCAUAGAACACAGGAUCCAUCCAUGGCUCAGCUGAGGACAAGUGAGAGCAUCAGUGUGGUCUGUGGGGUGUAGAGAGGAGCUGAGGUUUUCAGUAAAAUGUUGUGAGGGGAGCAGAGUUGCCAAGGAGUGAUGAGUGAGAUUCUAUUCUUUUCUCCUCAACCACUGUUUUCUCAUAUGAUGAAUAAGAACAGUAGACUGCACACUCAUUCUAACAUAAAGAAUACCUUUUUCUCUGAAAUUGGCAUUGGGAUCUCAGGCAACAGCUUCCUUCUUCUCUUUCACAUCCUAAAGUUCAUUCGUGGACACAGGCCCAGACUCACUGACCUGCCCAUUGGUCUCUUGUCCCUUAUCCACCUACUGAUGCUACUGCUCAUGGCAUUCAUAGCCACAGAUAUUUUUAUUUCUCGGAGGGGCUGGGAUGGCAUCAUAUGUAAAUUCCUUGUGUACCUGUAUGGAGUUUUGAGGGGUCUCUCCCUUUGUACCACCAGAUGUUGAGUGUCCUCCAGGCCAUAAUCCUCAGUCCCAGAAGCUCCUGUUUAGCAAAGCUCAAACACAAAUCUCCCCAUCACAUCUCCUGUGCCAUUAUUUUCCUGAGUGUCCUCUAUAUGUUAAUUAGCAGUCACAUCUUGUUAUCCAUCACUGCCACCCCCAAUUUGACCAUGAAUGACUUUCUUUAUGUUUCUCAGUCCUGCUCUCUUCUACCCUUGAGUUACCUCGUGCAAAGCAUGUAUUCUACACUGCUGGCCCUCAGGGAAGUCUUUCUUAUUAGUCUCAUGGUCCUCUCAACUUUGUACAUGGUGGUCCUCUUGUGCAGGCACAGGAAACAGGCCCAGCAUCUUCAAGGUACCAGUCUUUCCUUCAAAGCAUCCGCACAGCAAAGGGCCACCCAGACCAUCCUGAUGCUCAUGACCUUCUUUGUGCUGAUGUCCAUCCUUGACAGCAUUGUCUCCUGCUCAAGAACUAUGUUCCUGGAUGAUCCAACAUCUUACUCUAUCCAUAUCUUUGGGAUGCACAUCUAUGCCACAGUCAGCCCUUUUGUGUUUAUGAGCACUGAAAAACAUAUAGUUAACAUUUUGAGAGGGUGAUAAAUGUUUGAAUCUUCACUGAAUGUCAAGAUUCUUUAAGAAGAGCUAAUGACCUGGCAUCAGAACUGUCAGACAUGGCAUGCUGUAUAUGUGCUUUGCCCCAUGUUAAAUAUGAAGAUGUUUUCCUGUUAAAAUGAUUUAUUUUAACCAACAUGAGAGUAAAUAUGUAACAGAAGAUUUAACAACAUACACUUAGAGAUAUGAUAAGGGUGUUUCUAAACUUAUUUUAGUUUUUAUUUCUCAAUGAAAGGAUCCCUAUGAGGUAGUUUUUGCCCAUCUAGGUCUUCAAUGUCCCACACUGUUUGAAUGUGUGUGACCACUUCAAGUAUGUUUUGAUGUUUCAAUUUUCUGUUAUGAAUUUUGAUAAAUUAGAGAAACAUUUCUUACCAAAAGUAGUGCUAUGAUCCAUAAAGAAAAGGAAUUAUAUACAUAACUUUCAGAGCAGAAUUAUGUGCAAAAGGUACAUAGUGACUUGUACAGCAAUACUAAGAAUAACAGGAUUUAAAACUCUCAGGAUUUCAAAUGGAAACAGCAGCCUAGAAUUAACAGGGCAUAUGACUGAAACACAGCCUCUGCAUGGUGUGGGAUAGUGGUCAAUCUUUAAGUGCAAGGCAAUUCCUGGUGCGGUGGGAUGGAGCCCCCCAAAACAGGAAAUAUCCACACCACAGUGGCCAGCUCCCUGGAAGUUCAAGACUCUACCCCACACCUCUCCUUAAACCCUGUUCCUCCUCAUUCAGUCUGCACUGUAAUUAGCUUCUGAUAAAAUCUGUUACAUGGGGGAGCAUUACUGCUUAUUGGACAUUUGGUCAAAUUCUACUAAGAAGUUUAAGAAACCAAUCAAACAUAAGUCACUCUAGAUUGCUAAAGCAAGGAGACACAGGGUGCAAAAAAAUCUUUCUAAAAAUUAACUUGGACCUCAGUUUUUUGACCGAUAUCCUCUGGGCUUAUUGUUUCUAUACAAUUAGCUGAUUGCUGACUUCAACUUGAUUGUCUCACCAUUGGUUAUUUUCAAAAACUAUGGAAUGUAGACAAACCAUGAACUUCCUGUGGAAAGUAAGAUAACUCAAAGAGAGAAAAGUAAGUUUUAUGUGAUAACUUACUAACUGAUUGAUAGAGUUUGGCAAUAUAGGUACACACAGACACACAAAAUUCAAUGCCAUUUUUAGGUUCAAGAAAAAGGCAACAAUUUUUUGGUUUUGGUUGGUGGACAGACUUUCAAUUCAGCAGGGACACAGUGUCAUAAAUAAGUGUAUUUAUGAGAUAUGUGAUGUGUAUGUAUUCACUAGCACUUAUUGAGUAGUUAGAGUUUUCAAAUGGCAUGUUUGUAUGUUUUUGGUACUUCCUAAUAAUAAAGACAUAUUUUCUGCCUACAAAUAUCACAGCAUUGCCGCUAGUGCCCCUGAUGUUCAGCAGAUAAAGUAUUCUCUGCACAAUAAAAAGCUAAGUACAUAUACCCAGCAUACACCUACACUAUACAAUGAAUGUCAGGUAUCUUUCACCCCCGGAGAUCUUACAGACAAAUGGGUGGUGAAUUCCCAGAAUCUCUGUGUUACUUAGCCUGGCCCACAUGGUAAAGAAAAACAAGAGACCCAACAGAAACAAAGUGGAAAUUCAGGACCAAUGUAACAAGUUGAAAUCUGAC